CAAUAGCGUAUAUUAAAGUUGUUGCAGUUAAAAAGCUCGUAGUUGGAUUUCUGGUGGGAGCGAUCGGUCUGGCGCUUAGCGCGAGUACUUGCAUCGUCUCCGGCCAUCCUUGGGGAGAGUCUGUCUGGCAUUAAGUUGUCGGGCAGAGGAUCCUCAUCGUUUACUGUGAAAAAAUUAGAGUGUUCAAAGCAGGCUUAUGCCGUUGAAUAUAUUAGCAUGGAAUAAUAAGAUAGGACUUUGGUACUAUUUUGUUGGUUUGCGCACCAAAGUAAUGAUUAAUAGGGACAGCUGGGGGUAUUCGUAUUCCGUUGUCAGAGGUGAAAUUCUUGGAUUUACGGAAGACGAACUACUGCGAAAGCAUUUACCAAGGAUGUUUUCAUUAA
rnacentral:rRNA from 1 species